rnacentral:sRNA from 1 species
GUCGCGAUGGACCCUCCCGACGGUAUCGUCAUGGAUACCGAAGGCGCCGAUCAUCUUCAGGGCGGCGAGGACUUGAUGCUUUCCAGCCUCGUCAAUCGCUUCCGCGGCCGGGGUCUCGC